UGGCGCGCGAGGCACGGCCCGGUCGCGCCGAGGCUCGAGCGGCCGUCGCCAUUUUGUAGGGUUCUCUCUGACGCGGGAGCCGCCGCCGCCGCCGCCGCCGCCCGGAGGCUCUUGUCAGGAUGGUGAAGCUGUUCAUCGGAAACCUGCCCCGGGAGGCCACAGAGCAGGAGAUCCGCUCACUCUUCGAGCAGUAUGGGAAGGUGCUGGAAUGUGACAUCAUUAAGAACUAUGGCUUUGUGCACAUAGAGGACAAGACGGCGGCUGAGGAUGCCAUACGCAACCUGCACCACUACAAGCUGCACGGAGUGAACAUCAACGUGGAAGCCAGCAAGAAUAAGAGCAAAGCUUCAACCAAGUUACACGUGGGCAACAUCAGUCCCACCUGCACCAACCAAGAGCUUCGGGCCAAGUUUGAGGAGUAUGGUCCAGUCAUCGAAUGUGACAUUGUGAAAGAUUAUGCCUUCGUACACAUGGAGCGGGCAGAAGAUGCAGUGGAAGCCAUCAGGGGCCUUGACAACACAGAGUUUCAAGGCAAAAGAAUGCACGUGCAGUUGUCCACAAGCCGACUUCGGACUGCCCCUGGGAUGGGAGACCAGAGCGGCUGCUAUCGGUGUGGGAAAGAGGGGCACUGGUCCAAAGAGUGCCCAGUAGAUCGCACAGGUCGUGUGGCGGACUUCACUGAGCAGUAUAAUGAACAGUAUGGAGCAGUUCGCACACCUUACACCAUGGGCUAUGGGGAGUCCAUGUAUUACAACGAUGCAUAUGGAGCACUCGACUACUAUAAGCGCUACCGCGUCCGCUCUUAUGAGGCAGUGGCGGCGGCGGCGGCAGCUUCUGCAUACAACUACGCGGAGCAGACCAUGUCCCAUCUGCCUCAAGUCCAGAGCACAGCUGUGACCAGUCACCUCAAUUCCACUUCUGUUGAUCCCUAUGACAGACACCUAUUGCCAAACUCUGGCCCCGCUGCCACCUCAGCUGCUAUGGCUGCUGCUGCUGCCACCACUUCCUCUUAUUAUGGAAGGGACAGGAGCCCGCUGCGUCGUGCAGCAGCUGUGCUCCCCACAGUUGGAGAGGGCUACGGUUAUGGACCAGAGAGUGAGCUCUCUCAGGCUUCAGCAGCUGCACGGAAUUCUCUGUAUGACAUGGCCCGGUAUGAGCGGGAGCAGUAUGUGGACCGAGCUCGGUACUCAGCCUUUUAAAAACUGGAGGUGUGAACCUCAAAUGGACUGAAUAACCCUGAGUUGGUUGCAGUCCCAGGAGCCUGAUGUUAAUGAGGCUGCCAAGAUGAAAUACUCCAGAACUGGUGGGGAUCCAAAUUCGGGUCCCACCCUAGCAGAACUGAUCCAAGAACGUCACAACUUUUGAAGUCGAUUGGCACAGAUCAAGACCAAGAUUUGGCCCUUUGUCUGUAAUAAGUAGAGGAACUUGGUGUAGGAUAAUUGCGGACUGAACCCUCGGGCUGCGGUCAUAUAUGAGAACUUGCUCCGCGCGGUCCCCUUUGCCGGGAUGUUUCCAUUGCUUCAUGUUUCAGUAAACAAAGGAGUUUGUGACCAACUAUGUUUCCUUUCUUAAUUUAAUUUGUCUAAGUUGUCUUUUCUUUCCUCCUGAUACUAGUCUCUGUAGCUUUUCACUGUUCCUUAUAUUCUCAGCCUCUGAGCAGCCCUAGGUAAGGAUUAUGCUGGCAUCCCCUUUUUCCUGUACAGUGGAACCCCUCUUAUCUUGCUUUCCCUAGGAAUUGAACCCCUCUCCCUGCCUACCUGCAGCAUCUCCUUUCCCUUUAAAAUGACCACGUAGUGGCAAGCAGCCUUUUAUUCUUCUCUGUUAGCCCUGGACUCUAACACUGAAGCUACUCUUCUGAAAUUGCUAGGACCAUUGGGGAUUUUGUUGUUUUGUUCGUUUUGUUUUUUUAUGUUUGACCUGUGAUCGUGGUACAGCAUUAGCUGAAAUUUAGCCUUGUUUUACUCCACUUCUCCCACUUUUUUUUUUUAUUAUUAUUUUGACAAAUAAACGUUUCUAACACUUAA